GCGCGUAAAUUGCCCGAAUCCUGACACAGGGAGGUAGUGACAAGAAAUAACAAUACAGGGCUACUUCUAGUCUUGUAAUUGGAAUGAGUACAACUUACAUCUCUUCACGAGGAUCAAUUGGAGGGCAAGUCUGGUGCCAGCAGCCGCGGUAAUUCCAGCUCCAAUAGCGUAUAUUAAAGUUGUUGCAGUUAAAAAGCUCGUAGUCGGAUUUCGGGGCGGGCCGAGCGGUCUGCCGAUGGGUAUGCACUGUUCGGCGCGUCCUUCUUUCCGGAGGCUGCGCCUACUCUUAGCUGAGCGGGCGUGGGAGACGGAUCGUUUACUUUGAAAAAAUCAGAGUGUUUCAAGCAGGCAGCUCGCUCUUGCAUGGAUUAGCAUGGGAUAAUGAAAUAGGACUCUGGUGCUAUUUUGUUGGUUUCGAACACCGGAGUAAUGAUUAACAGGGACAGUCAGGGGCACUCGUAUUCC
rnacentral:rRNA from 1 species